GCCUGCGUGGCGUUGGGGUCCGAGCGUCGGACUGUAACUCUUGGAGACCUGGGUUCGAAUCCCCGCUUAGGCA